rnacentral:rRNA from 1 species
GACGGGACUAACACCGAUAUGCCUCGGGAAGUUGUAAGUAAACGUUGAUCCGAGGAUUUCCGAAUGGGGAAACCCGCUGCUUGUAAUGAAGCAGCAGACGUAUCUGAAUACAUAGGGUGCGUCAGGCAGACCCGGGGAAAUGAAACAUCUCAGUACCCGGAGGAACAGAAAGCAAAUGCGAUUUCACAAGUAGCGGCGAGCGAAACGGAAAUAGCCCAAACCAGCG